rnacentral:rRNA from 2 species
CUUUGACCUCGGAUCAGGUAGGGAUACCCGCUGAACUUAAGCAUAUCAAUAAGCGGAGG